UACGUAGGGUGCGAGCGUUAAUCGGAAUUACUGGGCGUAAAGUGUGCGCAGGCGGCCGAGCAAGUCGAGUGUGAAAGCCCCGAGCUUAACUUGGGAACUGCGCUCGAAACUACGUGGCUCGAGUGUGGCAGAGGAAGGUGGAAUUCCACGUGUAGCGGUGAAAUGACGUAGAGAUGAUGGAGGAACACCGAUGGCGAAGGCAGCCUUCUGGGCCAACACUGACGCUCAUGCACGAAAGCGUGGGGAGCAAACAGG
rnacentral:rRNA from 1 species